AGAAGCCGAACGGUAGCACCAAAAUAUAAAGUGAAGAGACCCACUUAUCCAGAACAAGUAAAAAUCUUACUAGAGGCAACUGGAUAUAGGAAACAAAGUGAACUACCAGUUUUCUGUUGAACAAUCACUACUCUGGUUUUAUUGUGACGUGUACCUAAAUUUAUUCUUAGAGAAAACUUGACAUGCAGACUGCAUGUUCUUAUGUAUUGUUUCAGUAACAAUGAUUGCAUAGUAAUUCAGUUAUAACUAUGUAACAGAAGAUGGCA